CAAAAAUGUCUCAGACUGUACAUUGUUCGAAUUUGGCAGGAAAGCAAUUUAGGAUACUGAAUAGAUGGUAUUUUGUUCCCACCAUAUUAGCAAAGCUCUCUGUGUUGCAUUCUUCAACUUGUUGUAGGUGCAACAGUCAGCUAUGUUCUUUACUCCAUAUCUGGUAGGAAUGCAAUAUGAUUAAAACACUGUGGAGCGAGGCCUUUUGAUGCUUGGAGAAGUUAAUAGAGAAACAGAUAUGCAAG